GAUGAUGUAGCUCACGUGGUAGAGUGCUCGCUUUGCAUCCGAGAGGUACGGGGUUUGAUACCCCGCAUCUCCA
rfam:Picea glauca, whole genome shotgun sequence.